rnacentral:misc_RNA from 1 species
UCCGGUUUGUCACCGGCAGUCUCCCUAGAGUUCCCACCAUUACGUGCUGGCAACUAGGGACAAGGGUUGCGCUCGUUGCGGGACUUAACCCAACAUCUCACGACACGAGCUGACGACAGCCAUGCAGCACCCGUCUCACGGUUCCCGAAGGCACCCGCCCAUCUCUGGGCAGUUCCGUGCAUGUCAAGCCCAGGUAAGGUUCUUCGCGUUGCGUCGAAUUAAACCACACGCUCCGCUGCUCGUGCGGGCCCCCGUCAAUUCAUUUGAGUUUUAACCUUGCGGCCGUACUCCCCAGGCGGUCAACUUAAUGCGUUAGCUGCGCCACUAAGAGCUCAAGGCUCCCAACGGCUAGUUGACAUCGUUUACGGCGUGGACUAC